GUGUUCCUGUCUUGCCUCUGGAAGAUGCACUCUGCUUUGAUGCCCUGAGGGUAGCAUUGUGUAAGCUCAGCCCCCAGCAGCUGACAAUUUUCACGAAUUGUUUACAGUGCUCUGAUUUUUACACUCCCUUAAAGGAUCUGUGUGCAUGCUGAUUGCGGAAGGUAAUAUUUCCAGCAUCAGUAACCAUGGUAAUGAAUCAUCCUUCUCAGAAUGAGUGCCAGCUGCAGGAGUGUCUAGCUAGUAGCACCCCGGUGUUCUGCUAAUGAGUGGUUUCAUUAGCUAUAGAAGGAAGGGCAUUUCCACUUCUUCACAUCUUUGCAUGUUCUGCUAAAGGCUCCUCCUUGGGAGCAACAUUUGAAAAAAAAAAUAAUCUCAUUUGGCAAAACCUCAAUCCCCAAAGGAAAGCAUUCCUCAGUCCAGAAAGUGGAGCGUGUAGGAGCACCUUUGAUGCUUGUGCUGGCUGGCCCACGCACCCACGCAUCCAUGCAUCCUUAUUGCCGCUUUCCUUUCUCUGUAGAAAACACUCCAUCAGCAUUCCUCUUUGACGGUAUUGGAGUUUAAAUAUUUUAAAGACUUAUGCUGUGAAUAAUUUAAGAUAAAUAAAGCAAGCCUCUAAACUCCCUUUGAAUUAUGUAACGGGAGCUUUGAAGUGUGUUAGCACUCUGUCUUACCAGAUUUGAAUUUUUUUUCUUCCUCCCGUGAAGAGUGAAGUGGGAACGAAAGUCACUGUUGUCCUUUAUCUGAUGAGGAGUCGAGUUACUGAGCAUCUGAGCAUCACAGAGAUAGGAGCCUGACAUAACGGACACUACUCCAUCUGUGCGGGAGAAGACCCCACGCCACUCCUGCCAGGACCACGGGGAGGAAGGAAACUCGACAUCCAGAGCCAUGAUGGGCAUCGUCACAUAGAUGUGCCCAUAGGAAGGCUGAAGGAAGGUGCUUUCUCUGCCACCAUGCACUGUGUGUUCAUUUCCUUUAACCUUCCGAGGACUGUGAUAUAGGCAUUGUUUCCAUCCCACAGGUGAGAAGACUGAGGCCCAGAGGUUAUGGAACAGUUCUGGGUUGUAAAUGGCAGAGGCAGAUGGCCUACCUGGAGGAUCUAAGCAGAGCCUUCCUUGUAACCCCUCAUGCCAUCAUGGAAGAAAGCUCAAGGGAGGGCAAAGGGUUUUUUUGUUUGUUUGGUUGGUUGGUUGGUUGGUUUGUUUUGUUUUUUUAAGUUAUUACAUUUUCUUCUUCUAUUUAAAUUUGCUUUAAUUGUUUUUGUUUGUUUGUUUGUUUGUUUUGUUUUUGGGCCAGGCUGGGUGGUUGUAGGUUUAUGGGUACGUCUGUACCAUGCCGUACAAGUAGAAUUGAGAGAACAAUGUGUAGAAAUCUGUUCUCUCUUUCCAACAUGUGGGUCCCUGUGAUACCACCCAGGUCAUGAGGCUUGACUUGGCAUCGAAUGCUUUAACCAGCUGAGCCAUCUGCUAGCCUCAGGGCACAGUUUCCAAUCUCGGCUGGGCUUCUGCCAUUUGUCUCGUACACAUUUCUUUCUCUUCCUGCAUUUCAAAUAACACCUGCUUCACAGAGAACAUGGGAGGAGCACAGGAGAAGAUGUACAUGGGAGCCUAUUGCACCUGCUUCACAGAGUAGCGGGGGGACUGCAUUAGAAGAUGCACCUGUGAGCUGCCUAUGCAGACCAGUGAGUGUGUGGAGAUGGCAGCCACAACUGUUGCUGGAGAAACAGGGGCAAUAACAAAACUGCAGAUCCUCUGGAAGCUUAGAUUAGUGCUUAUAAAGUUAUCCACAUUUCUCAGAAUUAUAUUAUCAGGAAUGCACGCAUUUCAAAUGAUUCAUAUUUAACUAGAUUACACACUUAAAUCACUUGCUCAAGAGCAACCCCGAGACACCGUUUUAUUUUGAGGAGUUUCUCGUUGACAUUUUUUGCCCUUGCUUUUAUUUUUGAGACAACAUCCCAUGUAUCCCAGACUGCCCUGGAUUCUGCUGCUUCUUCCCAAGGACUUUAAGGCAUGUCACACCAUACUCAACUCUAACGUUGCUAUUGAAAAAUAAGCAUCCUUCUCAAAGAGCUGAACAUAUGUCACCGAAGGGAAUCAAACAUUAAGGCCUUUAUAUUGCUUUCUAAACAACUCAGAGAGAGACUAAAACGAUCAACAAAACCUGGU
rnacentral:lncRNA from 1 species